rnacentral:tmRNA from 1 species
GGGGGCGUUUUGGAUUCGACGCCGGUAACAAAACCCAAGGUGCAUGUCGUGAUGGCGGCCAAUCACGUUAACCCAAAGCCGUAUAUUAAUAGUUGCCAACGACGACAACUACGCUUUAGCGGCCUAAACCCCGCUAACAGAAGCCAUCGGAUGCCAGUAAACGGGAAGCUUCUGUCAAAUAGAACUGGACCGCAGCAAAGCAUUCUCAGGGCAGCGCUGUUAAACACUAACUGAGAUCGCCAACCACGUCCUGCCCAUCGGGCUGUGUGAGGCUAAAUAAAUAGAUGGAAUCUAAGCAUGUAGAGCCGAGGGCGGAGUGCUGACGGACGCGGGUUCAACUCCCGCCGCCUCCACCA